CAAUAGCGUAUAUUAAAGUUGUUGCAGUUAAAAAGCUCGUAGUUGAAUUUCUGGCGGGCGCGCCGGUCUUCCAAGUGUUGUACUGGGCGCAGUCCGCCAUCCUUGUGGAGAGGGCUCGCAUUGAGUUGCGUGUCGGAUCUGCAUCAUUUACUGUGAAAAAAUUAGAGUGUUUAAAGCAGGCUAUCGCUUGAAUACAUUAGCAUGGAAUAAUAAGAUAGGACUUCGGUCUAUUUUGUUGGUUGCGAACCGAGGUAAUGAUUAAUAGGGAUAGUUGGGGGUAUUCAUAUUUAAUUGUCAGAGGUGAAAUUCUUGGAUUUAUGAAAGAUGAACAACUGCGAAAGCAUUUACCAAGGAUGUUUUCAUUA
rnacentral:rRNA from 1 species